GAACGAAGAAUUCUCCCGAAGUGCUUGCACUUCAUUUGAAUUCUUAGUGGCGAACGGGUGAGUAACACGUGGGUAACCUGCCUACUAGAGGGGGAUAACACUUGGAAACAGGUGCUAAUACCGCAUAAUAUGACGGAUCGCAUGAUCUGUUAUUGAAAGGCGCAAUUGCGUCACUAGUAGAUGGACCCGCGCUGUAUUAGCUAGUUGGUGAGGUAACGGCUCACCAAGGCAACGAUACAUAGCCGACCUGAGAGGGUGAUCGGCCACACUGGGACUGAGACACGGCCCAGACUCCUACGGGAGGCAGCAGUAGGGAAUCUUCGGCAAUGGGGGCAACCCUGACCGAGCAACGCCGCGUGAGUGAAGAAGGUUUUCGGAUCGUAAAGCUCUGUUGUUAGAGAAGAACGUGUGAGAUAGUGGAAAGCUCUCACAAUGACGGUAUCUAACCAGAAAGCCACGGCUAACUACGUGCCAGCAGCCGCGGUAAUACGUAGGUGGCAAGCGUUGUCCGGAUUUAUUGGGCGUAAAGCGGGAGCAGGCGGUUUUUUAAGUCUGAUGUGAAAGCCCACGGCUCAACCGUGGAGGGUCAUUGGAAACUGGAGAACUUGAGUGCAGAAGAGGAGAGUGGAAUUCCAUGUGUAGCGGUGGAAUGCGUAGAUAUAUGGAGGAACACCAGUGGCGAAGGCGGCUCUCUGGUCUGUUACUGACGCUGAGUCCCGAAAGCGUGGGGAGCGAACAGGAUUAGAUACCCUGGUAGUCCACGCCGUAAACGAUGAGUGCUAAAUGUCAGGGGAUAUCCAUCCCUUGGUAUUCGAAGCUAACGCGAUAAGCACUCCGCCUGGGGAGUACGACCGCAAGGUUGAAACUCAAAGGAAUUGACGGGGACCUGCACAAGCGGUGGAUCAUGUGGUUUAAUUCGAAGCAACGCGAAGAACCUUACCUGGACUUGACAUCCUUUGACAACCCUAGAGAUAGGGCUUUCCCUUCGGGGACAAAGUGACAGGUGGUGCAUGGUUGUCGUCAGCUCGUGUCGUGAGAUGUUGGGUUAAGUCCCGCAACGAGCGCAACCCUUAUUGUUAGUUGCCAUCAUUUAGUUGGGCACUCUAGCGAGACUGCCGGUGACAAACCGGAGGAAGGUGGGGACGACGUCAAAUCAUCAUGCCCCUUAUGUCCAGGGCUACACACGUGAUACAAUGGGGAGUACAACGAGCAGCAAGCCGGUGACGGUUAGCGAAUCUCUUAAAGCUCCUCUCAGUUCGGAUUGUAGGCUGCAACUCGCCUACAUGAAGCCGGAAUCGCUAGUAAUCGCGGAUCAGCACGCCGCGGUGAAUACGUUCCCAGGU
rnacentral:rRNA from 1 species